rnacentral:rRNA from 1 species
GUGGGGAAUUUUGGACAAUGGGCGCAAGCCUGAUCCAGCAAUGCCGCGUGCAGGAAGAAGGCCUUCGGGUUGUAAACUGCUUUUGUACGGAACGAAACGGUCCGGGUUAAUACCCUGGGCUAAUGACGGUACCGUAAGAAUAAGCACCGGCUAACUACGUGCCAGCAGCCGCGGUAAUACGUAGGGUGCAAGCGUUAAUCGGCAUUACAGGGCGUAAAGCGUGCGCAGGCGGUUUUGUAAGACAGGCGUGAAAUCCCCGGGCUCAACCUGGGAAUUGCGCUUGUGACUGCAAGGCUGGAGUGCGGCAGAGGGGGAUGGAAUUCCGCGUGUAGCAGUGAAAUGCGUAGAUAUGCGGAGGAACACCGAUGGCGAAGGCAAUCCCCUGGGCCUGCACUGACGCUCAUGCACGAAAGCGUGGGGAGCAAACAGGAUUAGAAACCCCAGUAGUCC